rnacentral:rRNA from 1 species
UAAGUUGGUAGUGAAAGCAUGGGGCUCAACCUCAUAUCCAUUAUCAAAACUGCAAAGCUAGAGGAUGAGAGAGGUCGCUGGAAUUACUAGUGUAGGAGUGAAAUCCGUAGAUAUUAGUAGGAACACCGAUGGCGUAGGCAGGCGACUGGCUCAUUUCUGACACUAAGGCACGAAAGCGUGGGUAGCAAACGGGAUUAGAUACCCCGGUAGUCCACGCCGUAAACGAUGGAUGCUA